UUUCCUACGGGACGCAGCAGUCGAGAGUCAUUCACGAUGGGGGAAACCCUGAUGGUGCGACGCCGCGUGGGGGAAUGAAGGUCUUCGGAUUGUAAACCCCUGUCAUGUGGAGCAAAUUAAAAAGAUAGUACCACAAGAGGAAGAGACGGCUAACUCUGUGACAGCAGCCGCGGUAAUACAGAGGACUCAAGGGUUGUUCGGAAUCCCUGGGCGUAAAGCGUGCGUAGGCUGUUUCGUAAGUCGUGUGUGAGAGG
rnacentral:rRNA from 1 species